CCGACAGAUGGAUCAUUUU
rnacentral:rRNA from 1 species